GAGCGGAUGAGAGGAGCUUGCUCCUGGAUUCAGCGGCGGACGGGUGAGUAAUGCCUAGGAAUCUGCCUGGUAGUGGGGGACAACGUUUCGAAAGGAACGCUAAUACCGCAUACGUCCUACGGGAGAAAGCAGGGGACCUUCGGGCCUUGCGCUAUCAGAUGAGCCUAGGUCGGAUUAGCUAGUUGGUGAGGUAAUGGCUCACCAAGGCGACGAUCCGUAACUGGUCUGAGAGGAUGAUCAGUCACACUGGAACUGAGACACGGUCCAGACUCCUACGGGAGGCAGCAGUGGGGAAUAUUGGACAAUGGGCGAAAGCCUGAUCCAGCCAUGCCGCGUGUGUGAAGAAGGUCUUCGGAUUGUAAAGCACUUUAAGUUGGGAGGAAGGGUUGUAGAUUAAUACUCUGCAAUUUUGACGUUACCGACAGAAUAAGCACCGGCUAACUCUGUGCCAGCAGCCGCGGUAAUACAGAGGGUGCAAGCGUUAAUCGGAAUUACUGGGCGUAAAGCGCGCGUAGGUGGUUUGUUAAGUUGGAUGUGAAAUCCCCGGGCUCAACCUGGGAACUGCAUCCAAAACUGGCAAGCUAGAGUAUGGUAGAGGGUGGUGGAAUUUCCUGUGUAGCGGUGAAAUGCGUAGAU
rnacentral:rRNA from 1 species